rnacentral:rRNA from 1 species
GACGAACGCUGGCGGCGUGCUUAACACAUGCAAGUCGAACGGAAAGGCCCUGCUUUUGUGGGGUGCUCGAGUGGCGAACGGGUGAGUAACACGUGAGUAACCUGCCCUUGACUUUGGGAUAACUUCAGGAAACUGGGGCUAAUACCGGAUAGGAGCUCCUGCUGCAUGGUGGGGGUUGGAAAGUUUCGGCGGUUGGGGAUGGACUCGCGGCUUAUCAGCUUGUUGGUGGGGUAGUGGCUUACCAAGGCUUUGACGGGUAGCCGGCCUGAGAGGGUGACCGGCAAAAUGGGAACGGGGAUACGGCCCAGACCCCUACGGGAGGAAGCGGUGGGGAAUAUUGCACAAUGGGCGGAAGCCGGAUGCAGCAACGCGGCGUGCGGGAUGACGGCCUCGGGUUGUAAACCGCUUUCGCCUGUGACGAAGCGUGAGUGACGGUAAUGGGUAAAGAAGCACCGGCUAACUACGUG